rnacentral:rRNA from 1 species
UACAGAAGGUCCCGAGCGUUGUUCGGAUUCACUGGGCGUAAAGGGUGCGUAGGCGGUCGGGUAAGUCUGAUGUGAAAAUCUCACAGCUUAACUGUGAAACUGCAUUGGAUACUAUUCGGCUUGAGAGUUGGAGGGGGGACUGGAAUUCUCGGUGUAGCAGUGAAAUGCGUAGAUAUCGAGAGGAACACCAGUGGCGAAGGCGAGUCCCUGGAUAACUUCUGACGCUGAGGCACGAAAAGCUAGGGGGAGCAAAACAGG